UGGCGGCGUGCCUAAUACAUGCAAGUCGAGCGGACUUAUUUGAGUAGCUUGCUAUUUAGAUAAGUUAGCGGCGGACGGGUGAGUAACACGUGGGUAAUCUGCCUCGUAGACUGGGAUAACAGGCCGAAAGGUUUGCUAAUACCGGAUGAGUUCGUGUUUCUGCAUAGAGACACGAAGAAAGGGGAAACCCGCUAUGAGAUGAGCCCGCGUCCCAUUAGCUAGUUGGUGGGGUAAAAGCCUACCAAGGCGACGAUGGGUAGCCGGCCUGAGAGGGUGGACGGCCACACUGGGACUGAGACACGGCCCAGACUCCUACGGGGGGCAGCAGUAGGGAAUCUUCGGCAAUGGGCGAAAGCCUGACCGAGCGACGCCGCGUGAGGGACGAAGGCCUUCGGGUUGUAAACCUCUGUCUGGGGGGACGAGAACGGACGGUACCCCCGGAGGAAGCCCCGGCUAACUACGUGCCAGCAGCCGCGGUAAUACGUAGGGGGCGAGCGUUGUCCGGAAUUACUGGGCGUAAAGGGCGCGCAGGCGGUCAUGCAAGUCGGUUGUGAAAGUCUAGGGCUUAACUCUAGAAUGCCGGCCGAAACUGUAUGGCUUGAGGGC
rnacentral:rRNA from 1 species